AUUGAACGCUGGCGGCAUGCCUUACACAUGCAAGUCGAACGGCAGCAUGGAGAGCUUGCUCUCUGAUGGCGAGUGGCGAACGGGUGAGUAAAGCAUCGGAACGUACCGUGUAGUGGGGGAUAACGUAGCGAAAGUUACGCUAAUACCGCAUACGCACUGAGGUGGAAAGCAGGGGAUCGCAAGACCUUGCGCUAUACGAGCGGCCGAUGUCAGAUUAGCUAGUUGGUAGGGUAAAGGCUUACCAAGGCGACGAUCUGUAGCGGGUCUGAGAGGAUGAUCCGCCACACUGGGACUGAGACACGGCCCAGACUCCUACGGGAGGCAGCAGUGGGGAAUUUUGGACAAUGGGGGAAACCCUGAUCCAGCCGUGCCGCGUGAGUGAAGAAGGCCUUCGGGUUGUAAAGCUCUUUCGGCUGGGAAGAAAUCGCACAGGCUAAUACCCUGUGUGGAUGACGGUACCAGCAUAAGAAGCACCGGCUAACUACGUGCCAGCAGCCGCAGUAAGAC
rnacentral:rRNA from 1 species